GCUCUUCUCUCACUAUCUUUUUCCCUUCCAGGGUAAUAGGAAUAGAAUUUUCUUUUGUUUCACUGAAACUCUGAAUUUAUAACGUGAUUUUUGUGGACCUGUGGGCUCAAAUGAGAGAGGCCCAAGUCCAAAAAUUUUCUGUUAUAUUUAUUUAUUUAUUUAUUCAUUUAUUUUUUAUUAUUUUUUAUUUUUAUUUUAUUUUUCAUUUUUUUAUUUUUUAUUUUUUUAUUUUUUUUAUUUUUUAUUUUAAACACGUGGGCUUCGCCUAG
rnacentral:lncRNA from 1 species